GAUGAACGCUGGCGGCGUGCCUAAUACAUGCAAGUCGAGCGAACAGACGAGGAGCUUGCUCCUCUGACGUUAGCCGCGGACGGGUGAGUAACGCGUGGAUAACCUACCUAUAAGACUGGGAUAACUUCGGGAAACCGGAGCUAAUACCGGAUGAUAUAUUGAACCGCGUGGUUCAAUAGUGAAAGACGGUUUUGCUGUCACUUAUAGAUGGAUCCGCGCCGCAUUAGCUAGUUGGUAAGGUAACGGCUUACCAAGGCGACGAUGCGUAGCCGACCUGAGAGGGUGAUCGGCCACACUGGAACUGAGACACGGUCCAGACUCCUACGGGAGGCAGCAGUAGGGAAUCUUCCGCAAUGGGCGAAAGCCUGACGGAGCAACGCCGCGUGAGUGAUGAAGGUCUUCGGAUCGUAAAACUCUGUUAUUAGGGAAGAACAAAUGUGGAAGUAACCAUGCACGUCUUGACGGUACCUAAUCAGAAAGCCACGGCUAACUACGUG
rnacentral:rRNA from 1 species